rnacentral:lncRNA from 1 species
AUAAAUUAAAGUUGAUGAUUAACUCAAGUCUCUCCGAAUCCGAGGUUAAAAACACACACAUGCGUUUUCCUCCCUGCAGAAACAGAGCAUGGUGGAGGAUACUGAUGACUUCAACGUAAUAUGAAAGGACGUGAAAAUGAAAAUACUUGAGUGGCCUGAGAUUUGCCUAGGGAAUCAUCUUAGAAGCAAAGAAGGAAAAGAACAUCACGGAAAUUCCCGCAGGCAUAAUUCCAUGGACAGAACUAGACAACGUAUUCUCUAGCAGUUUUGAAACCAAGAUCAGCUCGUCCCAUGCUCAGGAAUGACCAAGGGCAGUUUGGAGGUUAAAGGCACGAUGGAGUUGGUGAGUUCAGAUCUGUUUCACCUUCGUAAUUUUCUC